CAGCAGCCGCGGUAAUACAGAGGAUGCGAGCGUUAUCCGGAAUGAUUGGGCGUAAAGCGUCUGUAGGUGGCUUUUCAAGUCCGCCAUCAAAUCCCAAGGCUCAACCCUGGACAGGCGGUGGAAAAUACCAAGCUGGAGUACGGUAGGGGCAGGGGGAAUUUCCGGUGGAGCGGUGAAAUGCGUUGAGAUUGGAAAGAACACCAACGGUGAAAGCACUCUGCUGGGCCGACACUGACACUGAGAGACGAAAGCUAGGGGAGCAGAUGGGAUUAGAUACCCCAGUAGUCCCUGUCUCUUAUAC
rnacentral:rRNA from 1 species